rnacentral:rRNA from 1 species
AUGUCCGGGAGCUUUGUCUGCCUCCUCUACGUCGACCACGCACAUAAGAUCAAGGCCGGAGACCCUACCUCGACUGGAUCGAGCUCGUCCUCGCCUUCGGUCACCAACGCCACUCCGACGAACUACACCACCCCCUGCGCUUCUAGUCACUCACCGGGCCUUCGUGCGCCUCCUUGGUGGUGGAUCCUUGGAGCCAGAUGCCACCGCCGACGGAUACUGCUACUUGGAGACCGCCGCCGACGAGGAGUAGUUAGGAGGUCCCAGGCAAGAGGCCUUGCCUCUUCGAUCGUGUUGCUUUUGUGCUAG